rnacentral:rRNA from 1 species
UGGGGAAUAUUGGACAAUGGGGGAAACCCUGAUCCAGCGACGCCGCGUGUGUGAAGAAGGCCUGCGGGUUGUAAAGCACUUUCGGUGGGAACGAAAUGUGCCGGGCUAAUAUCCCGGCAAGCUGACGUUACUCAAUGAAGAAGCACCGGCUAACUCUGUGCCAGCAGCCGCGGUAAUACAGAGGGUGCAAACGUUGCUCGGAAUCAUUGGGCGUAAAGCGCACGUAGGCGGCCUGAUAAGUCGGUAGUGAAAGCCCUCGGCUUAACCGAGGAAGUGCUAUCGAAACUGCCAGGCUUGAGUACCGGAGAGGAUCGCGGAAUUCCCGGUGUAGAGGUGAAAUUCGUAGAUAUCGGGAGGAACACCAGUGGCGAAGGCGGCGAUCUGGACGGAUACUGACGCUGAGGCGCGAAAGCGUGGGGAGCAAACAGGAUUAGAUACCCUUGUAGUCCCUGAGCGGGCUGGCAAGGCGCAU